GCAUAGGAAUCUGCCCAGUAGUGGGGGAUAGCCCGGGGAAACCCGGAUUAAUACCGCAUACGCCCUUCGGGGAAAGGACAGGGAGUCUUCGGACCUUGCGCUAUUGGAUGAGCCUAUGUCGGAUUAGCUUGUUGGUGGGGUAACGGCUCACCAAGGCGACGAUCCGUAGCUGGUCUGAGAGGAUGAUCAGCCACACUGGGACUGAGACACGGCCCAGACUCCUACGGGAGGCAGCAGUGGGGGAAUAUUGCACAAUGGGCGCAAGCCUGAUGCAGCCAUGCCGCGUGUGUGAAGAAGGCC
rnacentral:rRNA from 1 species